rnacentral:rRNA from 1 species
UACAGAGGGUGCGAGCGUUGUCCGGAAUCACUGGGCGUAAAGGGCGCGUAGGCGGCUUGGUAAGUAGGGGGUGAAAUCUUACAGCUUAACUGUGAGGCUGCCUCCUAAACUGCCUGGCUUGAGCACAGUAGAGGCGAGUGGAAUUCCCGGUGUAGCGGUGGAAUGCGUAGAGAUCGGGAAGAACAUCGGUGGCGAAGGCGGCUCGCUGGGCUGUAGCUGACGCUGAGGCGCGAAAGCGUGGGGAGCAAACAGGAUUAGAUACCCUGGUAGUCCACGCUGUAAACGAUGGGUGCUAGGCGUCGGGGGGAGCGACCCCUUCGGUGCCGUCGCUAACGCAAUAAGCACCCCGCCUGGGGAGUACGGUCGCAAGACUG